rnacentral:rRNA from 1 species
GACGAACGCUGGCGGCGUGCCUAAUACAUGCAAGUUGAGCGAUGAAGAUUGGUGCUUGCACCAAUUUGAAGAGCAGCGAACGGGUGAGUAACGCGUGGGGAAUCUGCCUUUGAGCGGGGGACAACAUUUGGAAACGAAUGCUAAUACCGCAUAACAACUUUAAACAUAAGUUUUAAGUUUGAAAGAUGCAAUUGCAUCACUCAAAGAUGAUCCCGCGUUGUAUUAGCUAGUUGGUGAGGUAAAGGCUCACCAAGGCGAUGAUACAUAGCCGACCUGAGAGGGUGAUCGGCCACAUUGGGACUGAGACACGGCCCAAACUCCUACGGGAGGCAGCAGUAGGGAAUCUUCGGCAAUGGACGAAAGUCUGACCGAGCAACGCCGCGUGAGUGAAGAAGGUUUUCGGAUCGUAAAACUCGGUUGGUAGAGAAGAACGUUGGUGAGAGUGGAAAGCUCAUAAAGUGACGGUAACUACCCAGAAAGGGACGGCUAACUACGUG